rnacentral:rRNA from 1 species
UCGAGAAUCUUCGGCAAUGGGCGCAAGCCUGACCGAGCGACGCCGCGUGUGGGAUGAAGGCCCUUGGGUUGUAAACCACUGUCAGAGGGGAUGAAAUGCCAGAGAGCAAUCUUUCUGGUUUGACAUAGCCUCAGAGGAAGCACGGGCUAAGUUCGUGCCAGCAGCCGCGGUAAUACGAACUGUGCGAACGUUAUUCGGAAUCACUGGGCUUACAGGGUGCGUAGGCGGCUUGUUAAGUAGGGUGUGAAAGCCCCCGGCUCAACCGGGGAAUGGCGCCCUAAACUGGCGAGCUAGAGUGAGAUAGGGGUGUGUGGAACUUCCGGUGGAGCGGUGAAAUGUGUUGAUAUCGGAAGGAACGCCGGUGGCGAAAGCGACACACUGGAUCUUGUCUGACGCUGAGGCACGAAAGCCAGGGGAGCGAACG